GACGAACGCUGGCGGCGUGCUUAACACAUGCAAGUCGAACGGAAAGGCCCUGCUUUUGUGGGGUGCUCGAGUGGCGAACGGGUGAGUAACACGUGAGUAACCUGCCCUUGUCUUUGGGAUAACUUCAGGAAACUGGGGCUAAUACCGGAUAGGAGCUCCUGCUGCAUGGUGGUGGUUGGAAAGUUUCGGCGGUUGGGGAUGGACUCGCGGCUUAUCAGCUUGUUGGUGGGGUAGUGGCUUACCAAGGCUUUGACGGGUAGCCGGCAUGAGAGGGUGACCGGCCACAUUGGGACUGAGAUACGGACCAGACUCCUACGGGAGGCAGCAGUGGGGAAUAUUGCACAAUGGGCGGAAGCCUGAUGCAGCAACGCCGCGUGCGGGAUGACGGCCUUCGGGUUGUAAACCGCUUUCGCCGGUGACGAAGCGUGAGUGACGGUAAUGGGUAAAGAAGCACCGGCUAACUACGUG
rnacentral:rRNA from 1 species